rnacentral:rRNA from 1 species
AUUUAACGCUAGCGGGAUGCUUUACACAUGCAAGUCGAACGAGUGGCGGACGGGUGAGUAAUAUCUCGGAACGUGCCCAGUAGCGGGGGAUCACUACUCGAAAGAGUGUCUAAUACCGCAUAAUAUUGGAUCGGCCGAUAUCGGAUUAGCUAGUUGUUGGGGUAAAGGCUCACCAAGGCAACGAUCCCUAGCUGGUUUGAGAGGACGACCAGCCACACUGGGACUGAGACACGGCCCAGACUCCGACGGGAGGCAGCAGUGGGGAAUUUUGGACAAUGGGGGAAACCAUGAUCCAGCCAGUCCGCGUGUAUGAGAAGGCCUUCGGGUUGUAAAGGACUUUUGGCAGAGAAGCGGUAUCUGCAGAAUAAGCACCGGCUAACUACGUGCCAGCAGCCGCGGUAAUAC